UUGUCGAUCCUUUUGUGACCUUGUAAGCUAAAUUUGUCGUCAAACUGCACUUUUUAUUUUAUAACAAUAUAAACUUGUAAUCUGAUAAUCAAAGCAACAAACUAUAUUUAACAAUUGAUAGUAACAGUAUUUUUAAAUCUCAAAUUUUAAAAUGGUGACACCUAUUAACACCCAUUGACACUAUCAUGACAAAUUAAUAAAAUAGCCGAGAGCUUUUUGAGCCGAAAGGGUAAAAUGAAUGAAAUUCAAUGAUUGAAUUUCAAUGAGUGAAUUGUACACUUAGGAAUUUUUAUCAGCCUCUAAAUGUAUAAUGAAUUGUAUAAUACCCGACAAACGAUCUUGAAUGGUUAUAGAAAGUAUAAAAGCCAGCCAUUCAGCCGUUUUGGUUUGUAUUAGCAGUGUCUGUGCGCUUUUGAUUAAAAGAUCAACUUAAGAAGCUACAUUCGGUUAUCACUUUUUUAAAUCAGUUUCUGUUUUUUUAUACCUGUGAUCACGAGGAACCAUUUAACCUUUAUAACCUCAAGUCAAUUUAUUCAAUCGAAUUACCUUGGAAGGUGAAAAGUUAACCGUGAUUGAUCCUCACGAUUGAUCAAUGUUAACAUUAACACGAUUUAAGAUUCAAAGGCAAUUGUGUUAACAAGAUCUUGUUCACCAAUACAUCUUAUAGAAACCAUCCAACAUUGGUAAACGCAAAGAUUCAAUGAAAUGUAACGGAUCCCUGUCAACACCCAUUCAAUCUAACCUUUAACCUGUCAAAUUGGUGUCAACAUUUGACAAGAUUAUUCUUCUACAAUUUUACCCACAACUAACCAACCUAAUGUAAUGUAACAUGACUUUUUUGACUUCUGUGCAUAUGGACCUUCAAUCAGAUCAAUCAACCGAGAAUCUGAUCAAUCACAUGAAUUUUCCUACACAUAUUUUAAGUGACAAUGACUGAUAUUUCCUUUUUCUUCAUUUCGUUUCUUAGAUACAAAAAGCUGAUCAAUCUCAUCGUCAUCUUCAUCAUUGGAUUGCAGGAAAUGUUUAUUCAAUUAUCAUUUCACCGACUUGAUUGAUAAAUUAUUGUCAAAAUAAACCAGUCAAUUACACAAGUAGAUGAACCAAGAAGUCUUAAAAGGCCAAUGGAAAUAGUAUAAAUCGAUUUAAUCAAAUUCAAAGCUUCCAUUGUGAACCAGAUUGGAUUAACCUUUGAGACCACAAAAUCAAGGAAAUCCAAAUUGACUCAAUUUUGCUUUCGAUACCGAUUUCUGGACGAUUAAUCGGAUUGCAAGAGAUCAACUUUCCAAAGAUUAGUUCAUUAAUCUUCAACAUUACCCCUUUUAUUUGAUUUUAUAAUCCAAUAUAGAUGUUAAAUGUGAUUAAAGUCUAAAUCACAGUGUUCAAUGAUCAAUGUAUAUCAAGAAGAUAUCUGAAUACAAUUUGAAAUGCUUGUUGACCAGAUAAGUUGAUAUUAGUAACAACAUCGCAUGCAACUAAGAUACUAACAUGAAUUAGUAUCAAAAUGGGUCAUCUUAAACUACUAUAACAUUAUUAAUAACAUAUAAUGUAUUUAAGACGAAGAAUGAGAUGAAUCGAUAAAGUUAAUCGUGUUGAUCAAAUUGUAAUCUAAAGAAUUUUCGACAAGCAUAACAUUUAAUUGUAUUAUUUACUAUUAUCAUUGUUUAA